UCGGAUCGCAGGCUGCAACCCGCCUGCGUGAAGUCGGAAUCGCUAGUAAUCGCGGAUCAGCAUGCCGCGGUGAAUACGUUCCCGGGCCUUGUACACACCGCCCGUCACACCAUGAGAGUCGGGAACACCCGAAGCCCGUAGCCUAACCGCAAGGGGGGCGCGGUCGAAGGUGGGUUCGAUAAUUGGGGUGAAGUCGUAACAAGGUAGC
rnacentral:rRNA from 1 species